GGCAUGAAGCCUUGCCCAGCUGGCAUCAUAGGCUCACCUCAGGACUGAUACACUUCUUCCCUUUGCUGUGAGGAAGUGGGGGAUCUCAUUUAUCCUCAAAACAACCCUAUGAGGCCUCCUCUGAGGACCGGCUAGCGGCGGGAGAGGCCCCAGGGCGGUCGCACAGGCUGGGAGCAGUCUGGGGGGGCAUAGGCCGGCUGUGCUCAGGCCAGCGCCCAGGCCCCCUGACCUGCCUGUGUCAGGGGCAGGUUGCCUGGAGGGCAGGGCAGGCCCUCUGGAUGCGCUUUGAGGAGCCCCCACCGAGAGCCGCAUGUGGACAAGGCAGAGGCCAGCUCCUGAGGGAUCAGAGUGACGCCGCUGCUGAGCAGGAAGGGCCCAAGGGGAGGAGAGAGACGGAGAUAAAUGAGCCCCUGUGUGUCCGGCCGAGCAUCUUGACUGUGUAAAGGAGAAUCAGCACUUGGCUUGCAGGGAGCCGUGAGGGGUUCUACAUGGUACUUCCUGGCCAGAACUUGGUUUUGCUCAGAUGAGACAAAAAGACACACAAGUCAGAUAUCAAAUAAUGCAAGCCACUGGGGACCAAGGACUUCCCUAGAAGAGAAGAAAAGAAAUUGAAUAUUCUGGUCUUCACCUUGGGACUCAAAGGACCAGCCAUUCUCAGAGCUGCAGCCAAAGAGCAAACUGUAAUUCCUCAGAGAGGCAUGCAAGUCUCACACUCAGACAUGAAGCCCAUUUUCUCACCCUUGGGGAAUAUUUCUGAACCUUCAAACCACCUAUGAGAGGUUGCCCCUCGGUUCAUGUUUCUGGACAAAAGACCUCAUGCUCCAUGAAGGGCUGGGGUUCACCUGCAAGGAGAUGAAACGUUUGCAACUGUGGCAACCGAGCUGAGAAAACCAGACCUCAGGAGGGGUCCUCACACCUGAUUGACUCACCUGGCAGCCCUGAGCCUGAGAGAUGUCUGCCCUGUUGGGCCCCAGGUGGGGGCCGCUCACACUUGAAUGUGCAUUUCAGGCACCUGCAGAUCUUAAAAGGCAGAUUCUGAUGGCGGGGAGCCGUGGCCCAAGGACUGUGGGCAGACCUGGAAGGUGGAGAGUAUAAGCCUGGAGGCUCCAGAAGCAAUACCACCUCACCAGCAGCUUGGUUUUCGCCCAUGAGAUCUGCUUCAGACUCCUGACCUCCAGAACACUCUAAGUUCAUCAUGUAUCCCCAGUGCCCACUCUUCUUCAGGGGCAAGAGACAUCACAUUUCCAUCUGCUCCUCCAGCUUCGAGAGCUCAAGAGAGAGGCCAGGGGCCACUUCAGCACUGGCCUCCCAGUUUCCCCCAAGCACAUGAGGCUGGAGAAGAUUCUGGAGUCCCUUGAAGCUCUUCCAGAUAAAGGAUGGGAAUCUGGCCUGCAUUUGAGGGGCAGGAGUGUGAGAGCAGGACAAGCAACUUUUUCUUUUUCUC
ensembl:lncRNA